CGUUGAAACACCAUUUUUCGUAUGACCAUCAAAGUUAAGCAACGUAGAGCCUGGUCAGUACCUAGAUGGGUGACCACUUGGAAAUACCAGGUGUUGUAA